rnacentral:rRNA from 1 species
CAAUAGCGUAUAUUAAAGUUGUUGCGGUAAAAAAGCUCGUAGUUGGAUUUCUACCGAAGAUAGCCGGUCGGGUCUUCGACCUUGUAUCUGGUUUUGUCUUUGGUAUCCUCAUAGGGAACGUUUCUGCGCUUUAUUGCGUGGUGCGGUAUCUAUGACUUUUACUUUGAGGAAAUUAGAGUGUUCACGGUAGGCAAACGCCUUGAAUAUAUUAGCAUGGAAUAAUAACAUAGGAUCUUCGUCCUAUUUUGUUGGUUUCUAGGGCUAAGAUAAUGAUUAAUAGGGAUAAUUGGGGGCAUCUGUAUCAACGCGUCAGAGGUGGAAUUCUUGGAUUGCGUUGCGACAAACUACUGCGAAAGCAUUUGCCAAGGAUGUUUUCAUUGA